UACGUAGGGGGCUAGCGUUGCUCGGAAUUACUGGGCGUAAAGGGAGCGUAGGCGGAUAGUUUAGUCAGAGGUGAAAGCCCAGGGCUCAACCUUGGAAUUGCCUUUGAUACUGGCUAUCUUGAGUGUGGGAGAGGUAUGUGGAACUCCGAGUGUAGAGGUGAAAUUCGUAGAUAUUCGGAAGAACACCAGUGGCGAAGGCGACAUACUGGCCCAUUACUGACGCUGAGGCUCGAAAGCGUGGGGAGCAAACAGG
rnacentral:rRNA from 1 species